UACGAAGGGGGCUAGCGUUGCUCGGAAUCACUGGGCGUAAAGCGCACGUAGGCGGCUUGUUAAGUCAGGGGUGAAAUCCUGGAGCUCAACUCCAGAACUGCCUUUGAUACUGGCAAGCUUGGAGUCCGGGAGAGGUGAGUGGAACUGCGAGUGUAGAGGUGAAAUUCGUAGAUAUUCGCAAGAACACCAGUGGCGAAGGCGGCUCACUGGCCCGGUACUGACGCUGAGGUGCGAAAGCGUGAGGAGCAAACAGG
rnacentral:rRNA from 1 species